GAUAAGGUGGCUGAGUUUAAGCGGUAAACUGUAAAUUUACAUACGAAAUAAAAUUUCCUUUAUCA
rnacentral:tRNA from 2 species